UACGUAGGUGGCGAGCGUUGUCCGGAUUUACUGGGCGUAAAGGGAGCGUAGGCGGACUUUUAAGUGAGAUGUGAAAUACCCGGGCUCAACUUGGGUGCUGCAUUUCAAACUGGAAGUCUAGAGUGCAGGAGAGGAGAAUGGAAUUCCGGGUGGAGUGGUGAAAUGCGUAGAGAUCCGGAGGAACACCAGAGGCGAAGGCGGCGCCCUGGGCUGCACCUGACGCUGAGCCGCGAAAGCCAGGGUAGCGAACGGGAUUAGAUACCCCCGUAGU
rnacentral:rRNA from 1 species